AAUCAACGCUGGCGGCGUGCCUCAGACAUGCAAGUCGAACGAUUAAAGCUCUCUUCGGAGAGUGUAUAGAGUGGCGCACGGGUGAGUAACACGUAAGUAAUCUACCUUUGAGUGGGGAAUAACAGUCGGAAACGACUGCCAAUACCGCAUAAUGCAGCGGCACCGCGAGGUGACAGUUGUUAAAGGAGCAAUUCGCUUAAAAGAGGAGCUUGCGGCAGAUUAGCUUGUUGGUAAGGUAACGGCUUACCAAGGCUACGAUCUGUAUCCGGUCUUAGAGGACGGUCGGACACACUGACACUGAAUAACGGGUCAGACUCCUACGGGAGGCAGCAGUCGGGAAUUUUGGGCAAUGGGCGAAAGCCUGACCCAG
rnacentral:rRNA from 1 species